UACAGAGGGGGCAAGCGUUGUUCGGAAUUACUGGGCGUAAAGGGCGCGUAGGCGGCCUGCUAAGUCGAACGUGAAAUCCCCGGGCUCAACCCGGGAACUGCGUCCGAUACUGGCAGGCUUGAAUCCGGGAGAGGGAUGUGGAAUUCCAGGUGUAGCGGUGAAAUGCGUAGAUAUCUGGAGGAAUACCGGUGGCGAAGGCGGCAUCCUGGACCAUUACUGACGCUGAGGCGCGAAAGCUAGGGGAGCAAACGGG
rnacentral:rRNA from 1 species